ensembl:miRNA MIR548AE1 microRNA 548ae-1
GCAGUUUUUGCCAUUAAGUUGCGGUUUUUGCCAUUAUAAUGGCAAAAACUGCAGUUACUUUCACACCUGC